rnacentral:rRNA from 1 species
GACGAACGCUGGCGGCGUGCUUAACACAUGCAAGUCGAGCGGUAAGGCUCCUUCGGGAGUACACGAGCGGCGAACGGGUGAGUAACACGUGAGCAAUCUGCCCUUCACUUUGGGAUAACUCCGGGAAACCGGUGCUAAUACCGAAUACGACCACCGAUGGCAUCAUCUGGUGGUGGAAAGUUCCGGUGGUGAGGGAUGAGCUCGCGGCCUAUCAGCUUGUU